rnacentral:rRNA from 1 species
GUACGACAUUGCAAGUACCAUACGAAUAAGCAUCGGCUAACUCCGUGCCAGCACCCCGCGGUAAUACGGAGGAUGCAAGCGGUUAUCCGGAAUCAUUGGGUUUAAAGGGUGCGUAGGUUGAUUAUUAAGUCAGUGGUGAAAAUUCCGGGCUCAACCCGGGACUUGCCGUUGAAACUGAUAAUCUUGAGUGUAACUGAUGUGGGCGGAAUGUGUCAAGUACCGGUGAAAUGCAUAGAUAUGACACAGAACACCGAUAGCGAAGGCAGCUCACAAAAUUACAACUGACACUGAGGCACGAAAGCGUGGGUAUCAAACAGGAUUAGAUACCCUGGUAGUCCACGCUGUAAACGAUGAUCACUAGCUGUUUGCGAUACAUUGUAAGUGGUUAAGCGAAAGCGAUAAGUGAUCCACCUGGGGAGUACGUCGGCAACGAUGAAACUCAAAGGAAUUGACGGGGGCCCGCACAAGCGGAGGAGCAUGUGGUUUAAUUCGAUGAUACGCGAGGAACCUUACCUGGGCUUGAACGUAUGGUGCAUGAGUGUGAAAGCACUCUUUCCUUCACAGGACUUCAUACGAGGUGCUGCAUGGUUGUCGUCAGCUCGUGCCGUGAGGUGUUAGGUUAAGUCCUGCAACGAGCGCAACCCCUGUUUUUAGUUGCCAGCAGGUUAUGCUGGGCACUCUAGAAAGACUGCCUGCGCAAGCAGAGAGGAAGGUGGGGAUGACGUCAAAUCAGCACGGCCCUUACGUCCAGGGCUACACACGUGCUACAAUGGUCGGCACAGAGGGUGGCUACCCGGCAACGGGAUGCUAAUCUCCAAAGUCGAUCUUAGUUCGGAUCGAAGUCUGCAACUCGACUUCGUGAAGUUGGAUUCGCUAGUAAUCGUAUAUCAGCCAUGAUACGGUGAUACGUUCCCGGGCAUUGUACACACCGCCCGUCAAGCCAUGGAAGUUGGGGUACCUGAAGUCGAUUACCGUAAGGGNUGCCUAGGGUAAA